CUACUGGGGUUUCUAAUCCUGUUUGCUCCCCACGCUUUCGUGCAUGAGCGUCAGUAUUAUCCCAGGGGGCUGCCUUCGCCAUCGGUGUUCCUCCACAUAUCUACGCAUUUCACUGCUACACGUGGAAUUCCACCCCCCUCUGACAUACUCUAGUCCGGUAGUUAAAAAUGCAGUUCCAAGGUUGAGCCCUGGGAUUUCACAUCUUUCUUUCCGAACCGCCUGCGCACGCUUUACGCCCAGUAAUUCCGAUUAACGCUUGCACCCUACGUAUUACCGCGGCUGCUGGCAC
rnacentral:rRNA from 1 species